AGGGGUAUAGCUCAAUGAUAGAGCAUUCAUGAGGUCCUGGGUUCAAUCCCCAGUACCUCCA
rnacentral:tRNA from 1 species